CAAUGGAGGUGAAAAUGCCUUCUACCCUUAGCUAGACGGGAAGACCCUUUGAAGCUUUACUGUAGAUGAAUAAAGUCAGUUUAUGAUUGACCCUUGGUGGGGAACUAACUAAUAAUCCAAAAGAGAUCAUUUAUUGAUAAAAAAUUGUUUAUCGGGCAGUUUAACUGGGGUGGUUGCCUCCCAAAAGGUAACGGAGGCGUUCGAAGGUAGAGAGAAAAGUGAAAAGAAGUCAACUUAAAAGUGUAAUGGCAUAACUCUGCUUAACAGCCAGUCUAACAAGACAAGCUGAGAGGUAACUCGGACAUAGUGAUCCGAUGAUAACAGAAUGGAAUGGUCAUCGCUCAACGAAUAAAAGCUACUCAAGGGAUAACAGAUUCAUCAGCUCUUAUAGUACGUAUAGACGAGCUGGUUUGAUACCUCGAUGUCGACUCAUCACAUCCUGGAGCUGGAAAAGGUUCCAAGGGUUCGGCUGUUCGCCGACUAAAGUGGUACGUGAGUUGGGUUAAAUACGACGUGAGUCAGUAUGGACCCUAUCUACUAAGGGAAUAGGAAUUAAGUAUUUAUUAGCUCCUAGUACGAAAGGAUCGGAAAUAGUGAACCAAUAGUGUACCUGAAGGAAAAGGACAGGGAAGCCACGUUCAUAAAGGAAUAAUUACUGAAAGCAUAUCAAGUNNNNNNNNNNNNNNNNNNNNNNNNNNNNNN
rnacentral:ncRNA from 1 species